GGGGAUUUAGCUUAGUGGUUCCAGUGCCUGCCUCGCAAGUAUGAGGACCCAAGUUUGAUCCCUGGUACCCCCC
rfam:Fukomys damarensis contig79178, whole genome shotgun sequence.